UACGUAGGGUGCGAGCGUUUAAUCGGAAUUACUGGGCGUAAAGCGUGCGCAGGCGGUUUUGUAAGCCAGAUGUGAAAUCCCCGGGCUCAACCUGGGAAUGGCAUUUGGGACUGCAAGGCUGGAGUACGGCAGAGGAGACUGGAAUUCCUGGUGUAGCAGUGAAAUGCGUAGAUAUCAGGAGGAAUACCGAUGGCGAAGGCAGGUCUCUGGGCUGAUACUGACGCUCAUGCACGAAAGCGUGGGGAGCAAACAGG
rnacentral:rRNA from 1 species